rnacentral:rRNA from 1 species
UACGAAGGGGGCUAGCGUUGCUCGGAAUCACUGGGCGUAAAGCGCACGUAGGCGGCUUUCUAAGUCAGGGGUGAAAUCCUGGAGCUCAACUCCAGAACUGCCUUUGAUACUGGAGAGCUAGAGUCCGGAAGAGGUGAGUGGAACUGCGAGUGUAGAGGUGAAAUUCGUAGAUAUUCGCAAGAACACCAGUGGCGAAGGCGGCUCACUGGUCCGGUACUGACGCUGAGGUGCGAAAGCGCGGGGAGCGAACAGG